UACGAAGGGGGCUAGCGUUGCUCGGAAUCACUGGGCGUAAAGGGCGCGUAGGCGGCCUUGUAAGUUGGGGGUGAAAGCCCGUGGCUCAACCACGGAAUUGCCUUCGAUACUGCUUGGCUUGAGUGUGGUAGAGGUUGGUGGAACUGCGAGUGUAGAGGUGAAAUUCGUAGAUAUUCGCAAGAACACCGGUGGCGAAGGCGGCCAACUGGACCAUCACUGACGCUGAGGCGCGAAAGCGUGGGGAGCAAACAGGAUUAGAUACCCUCGUAGUCC
rnacentral:rRNA from 1 species